rnacentral:tRNA from 1 species
GGUUUGGCUCAGUUGGUAAAAGCAUGGUGCUAGCAACACCAAGGUCCUGGGUUAAAUUCCCACAGGGAUCA